UACGAAGGGGGCAAGCGUUGUUCGGAAUUACUGGGCGUAAAGGGCGCGUAGGCGGCUUACCAAGUCAGGCGUGAAAUUCCCGGGCUCAACCUGGGGGCUGCGCUUGAUACUGGUGAGCUUGAAUGCGGGAGAGGAUAGUGGAAUUCCCAGUGUAGAGGUGAAAUUCGUAGAUAUUGGGAAGAACACCGGUGGCGAAGGCGGCUAUCUGGCCCGUAAUUGACGCUGAGGCGCGGAAGCGUGGGGAGCAAACAGG
rnacentral:rRNA from 1 species